GUCCUUGGCCAGCCUCCUCCUCUUGUAGCGGCGCCAAGCUGCUUGGAUGAAACAAGCGGCCCAUGUCCUCCAGUGGUGAGAGUAGUAGCGAAAUGUGUGUUGCAACUUCCUGCUGUGGAGCCGCCUGAAUUGGCUCGCAACAAACUUGAGAUCUUCAGCUCGGAGGGCAAAUGCCUCCACUUCAACGAUUGUCUUCACCGUCCUGGUGGAGGAUGGCAGGUUGACAGUAGGCUUGGGAACAAGAGCCCAUCCAAGCAAUUCUUCACCACAAAAAUCGCCAGUUUUGAGCGUUAUAGAAUUGAAGAAGCCCGUCCGGCCACCAUCAGUAGUGGAGCUUUCCAGUUUCCCACGAAUGAUAAAAAGCAUCUCUGUCACUGGGUCACCUUCACGGACAAUGCAAAGGUGACGCUUAAUGUCACGGCGAAGAUCUGCAGGCAAAGCCUUCAAUAUAGAUUCUUCAUCCACACCUCUAGUUGCAAGCCACUUGUAUUUCUGAGGAAGUUGCCGAUGCCUCAUCCAUUCUUCCGUAUCUCUUUGCUUUAUUCUCCACUCCUCAACUCUUGCAGUGAUAGAUUGCAGGUAGGUCUAGCAAACAAUAUAAUGUGA
rnacentral:lncRNA from 1 species